AGGUUGUGUUGAGGAAAAUUCCUGAGCAAUCCCUUGUAUCUCCCCUAAGCUUCAUAUAAGGACUAACCAUCAUUUUGCUUUAAAAAUUCUAUCUUCUUCUUUAUUUU